GAUGAACGCCGGCGGCGUGCCUAAUACAUGCAAGUCGAGCGAACCACUUCGGUGGUGAGCGGCGAACGGGUGAGUAGCACGUAGGUGAUCUGCCCAUCAGACGGGGACAACGAUUGGAAACGAUCGCUAAUACCGGAUAGGACGAAAGUUUAAAGGUGCUUCUGGCACCGCUGAUGGAUGAGCCUGCGGCGCAUUAGCUAGUUGGUAGGGUAAAGGCCUACCAAGGCGACGAUGCGUAGCCGACCUGAGAGGGUGAACGGCCACACUGGGACUGAGACACGGCCCAGACUCCUACGGGAGGCAGCAGUAGGGAAUCUUCGUCAAUGGGCGAAAGCCUGACCGAGCAACGCCGCGUGAAUGAUGAAGGCCUUCGGGUUGUAAAAUUCUGUUAUAAGGGAAGAACGACUUUAGUAGGAAAUGGCUAGAGUGUGACGGUACCUUAUGAGAAAGCCACGGCUAACUACGUGCCAGCCGCCGCCGUAACAC
rnacentral:rRNA from 1 species